rnacentral:rRNA from 1 species
CCUACGGGUGGCAGCAGUGGGGAAUAUUGGACAAUGGGGGCAACCCUGAUCCAGCCAUGCCGCGUGUGUGAAGAAGGCCCUCGGGUUGUAAAGCACUUUCAGUGAGGAAGAACGCCUGGUGGUUAAUACCCAUCAGGAAAGACAUCACCCACAGAAGAAGCACCGGCUAACUCCGUGCCAGCAGCCGCGGUAAUACGGAGGGUGCGAGCGUUAAUCGGAAUUACUGGGCGUAAAGCGCGCGUAGGUGGCUUGAUAAGCCGGUUGUGAAAGCCCCGGGCUCAACCUGGGAACGGCAUCCGGAACUGUCAAGCUAGAGUGCAGGAGAGGAAGGUAGAAUUCCCGGUGUAGCGGUGAAAUGCGUAGAGAUCGGGAGGAAUACCAGUGGCGAAGGCGGCCUUCUGGACUGACACUGACACUGAGGUGCGAAAGCGUGGGUAGCAAACAGGAUUAGAUACCCUUGUAGUC